UGGACUGGGCUCAGUGGCUCAUGCCUGUAAUCUCAGCACUUUGGGAGGCCGAAGCAGAAGGAUCACUUGAGGCCAGGAGAUUGAGACCAGCCUGAGCAACAUAGUGAGACCCAGUCUCUACAAAAAAAAAUUAGCUGGGAAUGGUGGCACACAUCUGUAGUUUCAGCUACUCAAGAAGCUGAGAUGGGAGGACUGCUUGAGCCCAGGAGUUCAGAACUAGGCUAGGCAAUAUAAUGAGACUCCGUCUAUGAAAAGGAAAAAAACCCACAAUCCAAUACUUGGUGAGGAAUGAUGGCCUACAGUAAAUGAGGUAGAGUUGCUGAAAUGAUGAGCAGAGGAAGGGUGUCAGCAGACUCAGUGUGUGUUAAGAUGAAUUUCUUACAUGAGUCCUGAGAACCAAACACCUAUGUUAUCUCAGAGGGCCUAAAUAGCUUCCCGUUCACUCAGACAAUAAAGGAUGAACUGAGGGCAACACCGGGAUUGUUCAGUGACAGCUGCCUCAGCAGGGUUAACAGUAGGAG